UCUGAGAUCCAACAUAGUAGUGAAUAUAAUUGUAAAAUCGAUAAAGAUAAUUAAAAAUAUACUUAGCGUUACACACGCGGUAAUUUAUUGUAACAUCUACCAGAAAAGUGUGCGAUAGAAUUUUAUUAUAAAACUUGUAUUCUAAUCCUAAUCCUUCUCCCGCGUUUCCGCUUCACUGGCAUCGGCCAUCGUACAGGCCAAAUAUCCUAUGUCGUAUAUAUCGAUAGUCUUUAGACAGAAUAUGUAUUCCACUUUCGGUAGUAAUUAUAAUAAAUCCAGGUGAAUGGGUAUAUCCGAAAGGAAUUACACGAAAAAUUCAAAGAAACCUCCAAAAACAAAAUAAGAGUCGAAUCCAACGUACGAUAGAGUUUUCCUCUCGAAAAUAAACAACUUUCAACGAAAGUCUAAAGAUUUUAUUACUACUACUACUACUUAGACGGAACGGUGACAGAGACCACGUGAGGUAAACAAAAACCACGUGGCCGCGGCUAAUUUACAUAUCCACGCGGCGAUAAUAAAACAAACAAAUUUUAUGGAACAAGAUAAGAAUAUUAUUUAUCGAAAUAGAUAUUUAUAUUAUUUAUGUAAUUAAAUAAUAAAAAAAGCAAAAAUAAACGUAAGUUUAUUAUCGGAGUUUGACGUCUUCUGCGGUACUACACGGUUUCGCGCGGGAAAAAAGUCGUCUGUCGAAGAGUCUUGGCGACGAUUUUCUGUUCGGAGGAAAAACGAAGAUUAAUUCACCUGCUGAAGAAAUUCCUGCAGUAUCAAGGAUUCCCAAUGAAGACAUCAAUUGAUAUGCUGAUAAAACUAAAACAUCGUUUUUAGUUGCUGUGCUGAUUUUCAGAAAUCAGCACAGUGACUACCACUGCUGCCGAUUUAACGGUAAGUGGAGUCUAUUUGAAAUUCUAUUUGAUAUACAGUAAACUCCUGAUUAUCUGGGCUAAUGGUGGGGAGAGGUGGCACAGAUAAUUCAAACUAUAAUUAUUUAUUUCUAAAAUACAACAUGUAGAUUCAAUGUAGAUUCACCUUUUUCAAAUUUUUCAAUUAACAUUGUUUUUGUUUUAUACUAAGUAUGCCUUUAUAUUGAUUAUUAGGAAUUUUAAGGGUACUUAUCUGAAAACUGAAAAAUCAUCUUAUUUUAUUUAAUUUUACACAGUGUUUGUGAGCGAGUUAUUUGAAAAAAAUAUUAUGUAUAAUAUGUAUUAUACAUACAUACAUAUAAUCAAAUCUUAAAUUGUAAUACAUAUUGUAACAUGCAACUAAACGAAACUUUGUAUAAAUGUACUCACCAUCGCUUUCUCUUCUGAAAAGAAACGUCUGGCGCGAAAGAAGCAGCCUAACUAAAACCAGUCCAGCUGACUUCAGAUACCCCCAUCACUCACUUCAAACAUCUAAAUACGAACAUGUGCGCACUUAUAAGAUGCGUAAACAUGAAAGCGAGCAACUAUUUAAAAAAUACAUACAUACGUAAUUAUUUUUUAAAAAUUAAAUUCAUGCACGGAUAAUCUGCAAACUGGAUAAUCCUCGCACGGAUAAUCGGGAGUUUACAUUUGCCAUGAAAAUAUCUUUGUUAGGACAUAGAUAUAUACAUUUGUCUUGUAACGACAACAUUUUACAUUGUCAAAUGUUGUUAGUACAGAACACAUUUUUGUUAAGUAACACGAAACAUCAUAAUAUGAAGUAACUGUUUCUUGACUGCAUGGUCAAUUAUUAUUUUCACAUUGUGUGUCAGUGUGAUUAAUUUGCACAAUCCUGUUUCUUAUUUAAAGUGAAUUAUUUUAACCAAAAAAGAGAGGCUCUGAUUUUUUUUACUUUGGUGAGAGAGUGGUGGAAACAAGUUCUGAGCAGAAAUACGUGAAAUUAAGAUAGUUUUGUUAUGUUUGACAUUCUUGUGAUUUUGAAUUGAUUGAUGACUAAAAUAUUUAUGCCAAAAUUCUGAUUGUUGAUAGCUGAUUUUAUGAAAACUGAAAGGGCAUAAAAAAAAGAUUUAUGGAAUAUAUUUUUGCAGAACACAAUUUACAUAUGGAAUUUUCCUGCAAAUUGUUGCUUUCUGGCAUACAAAAUAAGAAUUUAUGAUCGAAGCACAGCCCAAAAAGUAGUAAGUCUCCCACAUCUGGUGGCCUAGGGCCAUGGUGUGCAAACUUUUUUCGACUGCGACCCCUUUUGUAGAGAGAGAAUUUUUGGCGACCCCCUAGAGAUAAAUGUUCACAAAUACGAUGUAUAUUUCGCGCAUUUUUUUCGUUUCAUCGAAUAAAAACAUCAUCAUAUCUGACUCAUAUUAAUUUUAUUUAUAAUUUUAAGAAAAUACUUUUUGUAUAACAUAAAAAUCAAUAAAUUGCCCUUUAAUGAGAUGUAUGUGGCUGCAAGUUUCUAAUUAUCUCAUCGAUGUUUGGAUGUAUGUUGCUAAUUGCAAUUCGCAUAUCAUCUUCAAGGUUUAAACGCGAGCGGUAUUUAGUUUUUAUUGAAACUAGUUUGCUAAAUCCAGUUUCACAUAAAUACGUUGAUGCAAAUUGUAUUAAAACCCUGAUGGCAUUCUUGCAUAAAACGGGAUAUUGCUUUUCCACGGAUAGCCAAAAUUUUUGGCAAGGCUGAGUCUUAAAUUGAUUUCGAAGAGUAUAAUCACUAAUUAAAUCUAUCAAUUGCUCUUUCUCACUAAUUUGAAGAGUUGAACUGCAUAUGUCGUAGGAAAAUGGAUCACGAAUCCAACCAAGAUCGUUUUCAGGAAAAUCCUUGAAUCUUCUCGAAAAAUUUUCCUUUAACUUUUCAAUGUGAUUGGAAAUGAUGUUUUUAAAUGUAAAUAUAUCUAUAUUAUUUUCCUUGAUAAAAUCGUUAAAGCAAGGGAACAUGUCGGUGUUGUUUUUAUUCAGUUCAGUUUGCCAGAGACUAAGCUUAUUCUUAAAAGCUUGAAUUUUACUGGCUGAAGUUAUGAUAGUUGAAUUCUCACCCUGCAAGCUCAAAUUUAAGUCGUUAAGUUUUUCGAAAAUAUCAACUAAAUAGCUCAGCUUCCCUAGCCAAACUUCAUUGAUAUAAUAACUUGCCAAUCUAUGUUUCUUUUCGAUUAAAAACAUGUACACUUCAUUUCUUAAAUCAAAUAUCCGUCGUAGUAUUUUCCCACGUGAAAGCCAUCUGACUUCGGUGUGUAACAGUAAUCUCUCAUACGUUGAGCCCAUCUCAUUGCAAAGUAUUGAAAAGAGACGGCUGUUGAGGCUGUUGCAUUUAAUGUAGUUAAUUGAACUAACAGCGUCUUGUAAUAUGUUGUGCAACUCUUCAUCCAUAUCUUUUGCAACAAGAGCAUGCCGAUAAAUCAUACAGUGAUUAAAUACCAUAUGAGGCACCACUUUCUGAAUUAAGCCUCUGAGCCCUUUAUUCGAACCUGUUAAUGCUGCAGCACCAUCAGUACAAACUGCAACACAGUUUGCCCAGGUAAGGGACUUUGCUUCAAAAUAUUCAUUUAUUACUUCAAAUAUUUUUUCUCCAGUUGUUUUUCCUUCCAAACUUUUGCAACAUAAAAACGUUUGUUAUAUCUUCAUUAAAAAUAAACCUAACAUAAAUAAUAACAUAAAUAAAUAAUUAGUUGUGACAUUUUAAUAAUAUCGGUAGUCUCGUCCAGUUGUAAAGCAAAUACAGAUGAAUUUUGUAUGCGUUUUAUGACUUCUGACUCGAUAUUUCGUGACAUUUCGGAAAUCCGCCGAGACACGGUAUCUCUUGAUAAUGGUAUUGUUUUUAGUUCAUUUCCAUAUUUAUCGCCAUGCAUAAUUGAUGUCAUCUUGGUUGCUGCAGGAAGGAUAAGGGAUUCUCCAAUUGUAUGGGGUUUCAUUGUUUUUCCUAUUAGAUAAGAAACUUCUAAAGAAGCUCGUAAUGCUUUCUGAGGUAUUGUUGUAAAUUUCUUUAAAUGUGCACUUUGAAUUUUCAGAUUUUCAGCUCGUCUUUGAAAAAAAUCGGCAUGUUUAUUUUGAAGUUUUUUAUGUUUAGUUUUCAGGUGCCUUUUUAAUUUAGCUGUAUCAUGCUCUCAUUCGCUAAUUUUUCGUUGCAAAUGACACAUAUCGGGCGUUCUUCAUCACCAACAACACAAAAUGUAAAACCAUACUUAAUAAAUUCCUCAUUGUAUUUUCUUAUUUUUUUAGAUAGGGCAUUUAGUUCAGUAUUUUGCGACUCCUCAUCAGUAUUUGUUCGUUUGUUAGCAGAAGAUGUACCUGGUGUAUGUAUUACCCAUUUAUCCAUUAUGAAGAUAGGGGUUAAAUUUUUUUAACUAAAACAAAUAAUAUAUUUUCUUUUUUCAUUUUUUUUUCGAGAAAUUCAAUAAAAUUAACAGAGAUCUUUCUCUAAUGAUAGUACAUACCUGAUAACAAAGAGUAGUAAAGCCCGAUAAAAAUAUACAAAAUCAUAAUUACACAACGUCACAUGAAAAAACUCGAGGAGAAACUAAAACAAUUGCAGGCCAACUGCUACAUGCUACAACUUUACAUGGAAAAGCGCAGUAAAACAUUCAGCGAUAAUUUUUGGUCGUUUGGUUGGCCUUUGAGGAUUGUGGCUUUGUUCCUUUGUUUGGCUUGGUAUGCUUAACCGGUCAGCAGUGAGUGACGACUAUAGUCGUCCAACAGGGUCGUGUGGCUAUUGUGAAAGACGACUAUAGUCGUCCAAGGUCAACGAGGUCGAUCGCCAGAAAGUAGCCUAAAGCUAAAACAGAAAAUAAAUUAGGUAAAAAAUAAUUACUGUAGCAUUUAGAAAACACUUUACUCUACCAGACAUGAAAUAGUACAAAAUCUUAUAUCGAAAAACAAACGAGUAAUAAUAAUUCAAAAAAUAAUUUUAAAUUUUUGACCUUUGCCCUCCACAACCAGGUGUAGAAACCUGUCUUAAUGCUUCACUUAUCUUAUCUCUUCUUUUAUGGCUUGGUUGGCCUUGGCUUGGUACGCAUGUCUACAAGAUGACUACCACAGCCCUUGAUUACCACUCCAUCUCGUACGGUGCGCAUGCUCAGUGCGCACCGUUCGACACAGUACGUAUAACAUCAAUACGUCGGACAAAUAGGUGCUUUUUAGUAAAACUGGGGAAUUACCGUGAAGAGGGUGCCAUCUACCGGAGUGAAAAACUUGCGUCUUCACACUUCACACUUUACAUACAUUACGCAUUACGGUCAAAGAAAGAGCGGACAGCAUGAAAUUGCAAUUAAACAGUGAGUAACGGCGCUUCACUCUUUAUAUGUACACUGUAUGGUAUGCAGCAUGCAGGCAUAAUGCAUUUCAUUAAAAAUUUGGCGACCCCCAAAAAACUUCUGCCGACCCCUAGUUUGCGCACCACUGGCCUAGGGCUGUACAAAUAAGUUAUCUGAAUUGGCUACUUUGUAGCCCGAUCUUGCAAAUUUGAAAACUAACCAUAUUUUAUGAGAUAGGAGGAAAAAGGAAUAGUCUGAGGGUUAGGUGACACUCAGGGUAUAGUCUGAGGGUUAGGUGACAACAGAAGCUCAAUCUAUGAGUGAGUUUUCUGACAUAUCUGACGAAGAGCCAAAUAUGGAGGUGACAAAACCAACGUCACCUCCAAAAGAAAAACCCCCUGUUAAAGUAAUCCUUUAUACUUGUAAGCUGGUAACACAGCAGGCAGUAUGAUUUUAUAAACAAGACAGUCUGGUCAAUAAGAAUCAGAUUGAGUUAUUGGA